UACGUAGGGGGCAAGCGUUGUCCGGAUUUAUUGGGCGUAAAGAGCGUGUAGGCGGCCGUACAGGUCAGCUGUGAAAACUCGAGGCUCAACCUCGAGACGUCGGUUGAAACCGUACGGCUAGAGUCCGGAAGAGGAGAGUGGAAUUCCCGGUGUAGCGGUGAAAUGCGCAGAUAUCGGGAAGAACACCCGUGGCGAAGGCGGCUCUCUGGGCAGUUGCUGACACUGAGGCGCGACAGCGUGGGGAGCAAACAGG
rnacentral:rRNA from 1 species